rnacentral:rRNA from 1 species
GACGUAGGGCGCGAGCGUUGUCCGGAUUUAUUGGGCGUAAAGAGCUCGUAGGCGGCUUGUUGCGUCGACUGUGAAAACCCGCGGCUUAACCGCGGGCUUGCAGUUGAUACGGGCAGGCUAGAGUUCGGUAGGGGAGACUGGAAUUCCUGGUGUAGCGGUGAAAUGCGCAGAUAUCAGGAGGAACACCAAUGGCGAAGGCAGCUCGCUGGGACGGUACUGACGCUGAGACGCGAAAGCGUGGGGAGCAAACAGG